rnacentral:rRNA from 1 species
UACGGGGGGGGGCAAGCGUUGUUCGGAAUUACUGGGCGUAAAGGGCUCGUAGGCGGCCAACUAAGUCAGACGUGAAAUCCCUCGGCUUAACCGGGGAACUGCGUCUGAUACUGGAUGGCUUGAGUGUGGGAGAGGGAUGCGGAAUUCCAGGUGUAGCGGUGAAAUGCGCAGAUAUCUGGAGGAACACCGGUGGCGAAGGCGGCAUCCUGGACCAUUACUGACGCUGAGUGAGCGAAAGCCAGGGGAGCAAAGCGGG